rnacentral:rRNA from 1 species
AGAGUUUGAUCCUGGCUCAGAGUGAACGUUGGCGACGUGGAUUAGGCAUGCAAGUCGAACGCGAGAGUUCCUUCGGGAACUAGUAGCGUGGCGAAAGGGGCAGUAACGCAUAGGUAACCUACCCUUCGGACCGGGAUAUACGGUGGAAACGCCGGGCAAUACUGGACAUCGUCAUUGGAUGGCAUCUUCCGAUGAUGAAAGAUUUAUCGCCGAGGGAGGGGCUUAUGUUCUACCAGCUUGUUGGUGAGGUAAUGGCUCACCAAGGCUACGACGGAUAGGGGGUGUGAGAGCACGACCCCCGCCACUGGGACUGAGAUACUGCCCAGACUCCUACGGGAGGCUGCAGUCGAGAAUCUUCGGCAAUGGGGGAAACCCUGACCGAGCGACGUCGCGUGGUGGAUGAAGGCCUUCGGGUUGUAAACACCUGUUGGGGGGGAACAAUAACGAGUGAACCCCUGAGGAAGCACGGGCUAAGUUCGUGCCAGCAGCCGCGGUAAGACGAACCGUGCAAACGUUACUCGGAAUCACUGGGCUUAAAGCGCACGUAGGCGGCGACAUAAGUUAGAGGUGAAAUCCCAUCGGCUCAACCGUGGAACUGCCUCUAAUACUGUGUUGCUUGAGGGAGAACGGGGCAUUCGGAACUUCCGGUGGAGCGGUGAAAUGUGUUGAUAUCGGAAGGAACGCCGGUGGCGAAAGCGGAAUGCUGGGUCUCUUCUGACGCUGAGGUGCGAAAGCUAGGGUAGCGAACGGGAUUAGAUACCCUGGUAGUCCAA